CAAAGUAUAGCUUAAUUUAAAGCACUUCGCUUACACCGAAAUUACGUUUGUGCAAAUCAAACUUCUUUGA
rnacentral:tRNA from 1 species